rnacentral:lncRNA from 1 species
CUAGAGACGAUGCAUUAUCCGGUUUUUCGGCAAGAACGCGUCUGUUGUUUGUUAUUAUAAAAUAUUUACAGUUUUUUAGCAAUAAUUUGUGCAAAACUAUGUUUAUUAGUGUGUAGUGAAUGAGUGUUUAAUGGUAAAUAAUGUUAGUGUUUAUUUGGUCAAUGAUUCUUUAAAGAAUACUUUGCGGUUAGCGCAUCUGCAGUUUAUCGUCGAAGAACGCAUGACUUCAUAGGGUGUGCGCGCGAUACACCAACAUCUAGAUUGCAAGUCCAUGGAUAAGAUAGCGAAUCUGGAAAGCAUCUGGAACGACAAAGCAGUGUCGCCAUGUGAUUUUGUACCAUUUUUGUUGCCUUGAUGGACGUGUAAAGUAAGUCGUUUUAUUAUAUUUUUCGUUUACCAAGCAAAUGAGACAAAAUUAUACGGGGUAAUGAUCAAAAAUAUGAGAUAUGAUAAUCUACAAGGUCCCGAGCAUCUGUUGAACUGCGUCAGUGAGGUAGGAAGAAAAAUGGCGUAUUAGAUCUGCACUUUAUAGAAUUAGUCUUCUUCUUCUUCAGGUGCCAUCUCCGCUACGGAGGUUGGCAAUCAUC